rnacentral:misc_RNA from 1 species
CAACCAUCAAGCACUGCUUGGUAUUGGAUGUCACAUUUGUGCAUUUCAAAAGUAUUGGCAGUAGCAUUCAGCUUCUAGUGUGGUAAAUUUCUUGCUUUGGAGUUUGAGUGUCUUGAUUGCUGGAACCCUUUAUCAAAA